GACUUUCUGCUUUGCAAAUAAAUUCAUCUGUACCAUUUUUCUAGACUCCACAUGUAUAUGAUAUUAUACAAUAUUUGUUUUUCUCUUUAGUCUUUUUAUUUUGGCACCCAUUGUUGCCAAUGAGAAAUCUGAUUCUUGCUACUUUGUGGGAUUCUUUUCUUCUUUUUCUGAGAACUUCUUACAAUUUUCUCUUUGUUCUUAGCGUUCUGAAAUUCCAUCAGGAUAUGACUAGGAAUGGGUUUAUUAUUAUUAUUUUAAUUUAUUUUGCUUGGUACCCCAUGGGCUAAACCCAUAUCACAUGUUCAUGCCUGAAGUGAUCACAGGUGAGGGAGAUGAGACCAUCAUACUAACUUAAACAAUCAAGACUAACCCAGAGGUACAGAGAUGGGUCAGCAUCCAUUGGAAAACCAUGUCCAUUUAGUGGACUGUGAACAAAAAUAAGAUCCAUUAUUAGGAAGGGCUAUUCAGUUGUCAAUCAGCACAGUUUGCCCCUCCUGCUUUUACUAUCUCCCCCAAUUAUUUCAAUAACAAAUGAAAAUUUGGUUGGGGGAGAUGUGCUCUUCUGGUUUCUGAUGCAUUUCAAGUAUUUUCUGUAACUUAUGGGCAAAGAAUACCCCUCAAUUAACUUGUCCAGACAUUUUGAUUCUCUAAGCUUUUCCUUCUUUCUUUGUGUCCUUUGGCUGACUGCAGAAGUAUUUCUAGUUUAAACAUUUGUAGAAUACUUCUCAUUUGUAUAUAUGAAUCCUAGUAACUUUCACCCUAUCAUAUUCCCUUUCUAGGGUGGUUUGACAGUCUAUCCCAAAGACAAAGGUUUAUGUGCCCUAGAACACAAAUAAUUUCUAAUGCUGGAAACUGGCAGCCUCUUAGUCUCUGGAUUUUCUUUAUCUCUAAGGCUUCCCAUUUCACUUUCUUUGUUGUGUUUUAACCUUGACUAGGUAUUUUCCUCUCAGCCUUUGUAUGUGGUUUUCACAGAUUUCUAUUGCUUCUGGUAGAAAGUUUAAUCAGUUUAAAAAUCUCUGCUGUUUACACUCUUGUUGCAUAACCUGUCUCCUUUUUAAUUGUACCCACAUAUGUCCCAGUGCUUCUGUGAUUCUGGACUUACUCCAUCCCCCACAGGUGAGUGGUGAUUGGUGUAGACCAAUCAUGGUGUUCUUUUUUUCCUCAUCCAGUGAUUCGUGUAGGCACAGAAUGUGGCAUAAUUCUGGCCAAUGAGAUGUCAGAGACAUCUAAAGAGAAUGGAGAUUGCCUGAAAGAGACAUUUUUGGAAUUUGGAGGGAAGUUUUCCAUUUGGAUGUUGUAUCUUAAGGUGGAUGAUAUCCUGAGACCAUGAGGGGAGCUGGUCUGAGGACAAAGCCAACACCCAAGGUCUGAGCCAAAUGAGUUGCAGAAAAAUACUGGAGCUCUAAUUAUGUUGUUGCCAUACUCGUUUAAUCUUUGUAUUUCUUGUUAAUAGACUCAAUACACUGUCUUAUUUGUUUAAGCCACUUACUUUGGGUUUUUCUGUUCUUUGCUACUAAAGACGAUCAUGGUUAUAAACAUUUCUCCCUCUUGGCAGCCCACCCUCUUUUGGAUCUGGCCUGAGGCAUUGUAGAAGAACAAAUGGCACAAUCUAAUUUUUAAAUGAAAAUAUUGCAAAAUGAAUUAAAAAUUAAUGACCAUCUUGAAAUUUAUGACAUUUAUCAGACUUUUAAAGUUUCAUAAGAGUAUAUAAUAUGGAUAACCUGAGAGGCAUGUAUUGUGUUUUAUUCUUUUUUAAAGUUUUUUUUUUUUUUUGAUGUGGACUAAUUUUAAAGUCUCUAUUGAAUUUGUUACAAUAUUGCUUCUGCUUUAUGUUCUGGUUUUUUGGCCUCAAGUCAUGUGGGAUCUUAGCUGCCCAACCAGGGAUAGAACUCACACCUCCUGCAUUGGAAGAUGAAGUCUUAACCACUGGACUGCCAGGGAAGUCCCAAGGACCAUGUACUGUUGCUGGAGGAGAUUGUAUUAUAUUUUCCUUGUGAUGAUGCAAUAGUGGGGAGAAGUGAAACCUCUGAUGAAACACUCUCUGUAUGAAAAUCUCAGUCAGAGUUCUCAAGAGAAAUAGAACCAACAUGAUAAAUACGGAAUUUUUUUUUAAGGCAUUGGCUCUUGUGGUAACAGAGGCUGAGAAGUCUCCAAAUCCAUAACCUGCAACUGAAGACCCAGAAGAGCUGAUGGUGUAAUUGUAUUCCAAGUCUGAAGGCCUGAGAACCAU